AUAAUACUCCCUCCAUCCGGAAUUACUUGUCAUCAAAAUGGAUGUGUCUAGAACUAAAAUACAUCUAGAUACAUCCAUUUCAAUGACAAGUAUUUUCGGACGGAGGGAGUUGUAG
rnacentral:pre_miRNA from 1 species